UACGAAGGGGCUAGCGUUGCUCGGAAUCACUGGGCGUAAAGGGUGCGUAGGCGGGUCUUUAAGUCAGGGGUGAAAUCCUGGAGCUCAACUCCAGAACUGCCUUUGAUACUGAGGAUCUUGAGUUCGGGAGAGGUGAGUGGAACUGCGAGUGUAGAGGUGAAAUUCGUAGAUAUUCGCAAGAACACCAGUGGCGAAGGCGGCUCACUGGCCCGGUACUGACGCUGAUGUGCGAAAGCGUGGGGAGCAAACAGG
rnacentral:rRNA from 1 species